GAGGAGGCAACCCGGGGAACUGAAACAUCUAAGUACCCGGAGGAAGAGAAAUCAACCGAGAUUGCGGGAGUAGCGGCGAGCGAAACCGCACCAGCCCAAACCCAUGCACGUGCAAGCUUGAGGGCGUUGCUGCAUGAGGGGUUGUGGGACCGCGCAUUCCAUGGGCCUCAGACCAUGGACGCAGUUACAAAUCCGCGCGGAAGCGGAACGGCCUGGGAAGGCCGGCGGAACAGGGUGAGAGCCCCGUACGCGAAUCCGCGCGGACUGCGAGUGCGGCGCCCGAGUAGCGCCGGGCACGUGAAACCCGGUGCGAACCUGGGGGGACCACCCUCCAAGGCUGAACACUCUCCUGUGACCGAUAGCGAACCAGUACCGUGAGGGAAAGGUGAAAAGCACCCCGAGAGGGGAGUGAAACAGUACCUGAAACCGUGCGCCUACAAGCAGUCGGAGCCCCCGAGCGGGGUGACGGCGUGCCUUUUGUAGAAUGAGCCAGCGAGUUGCGGUAUGCGGCGAGGUUAAGGUUUGAACCGAGCCGCAGUGAAAGCGAGCCUUUAAGAUGGCGAUAGAGUCGCAUGCUGCAGACGCGAAGCCGGGUGAGCUAUCCAUGGGCAGGCUGAAGCGGGGGUAAGACCCCGUGGAGGGCCGAACCCACUUCGGUUGAAAACGGAGGGGAUGACCCGUGGAUAGGGGUGAAAGGCCAAUCAAACCCGGAGAUAUCUCGUUCUCCCCGAAAUAGCUUUAGGGCUAGCCUCGGCCGUUCUCCGACGGCGGUAGAGCACUGGAUCGUCGAGGGGGCUUCACCGCCUACCGACACGAACCAAACUCCGAAUGCCGCCGGAUCAGAGGCCGGGAGUCAGAACAUGUGGGCUAAGCUGUGUGUUCGAGAGGGAAACAGCCCAGACCGCCCGCUAAGGUCCCCAAGUUUAUGCUGAGUGGCAAAGGAUGUGCGUUUGCCUAGACAACCAGGAUGUUGGCUUAGAAGCAGCCAUGCAUUUAAAGAGUGCGUAACAGCUCACUGGUCAAGUGGACAUGCGCCGACAAUUCACGGGGCUAAGCAUAACACCGAAGCGGCGGACUAAUCUAUAUUAGUGGUAGGGGAGCUUUCCCCGCAGCGGAGAAGCCGAGAGGGCGACCCUCGGUGGAGCGCGGGGAAGUGAGAAUGCUGGCAUGAGUAACGAGAGCGGCGCGAGAAACGCCGCCGCCGUAAGCCUAAGGGUUCCUGGGCAAGGCUAAUCCUCCCAGGGUCAGUCGGGAGCUAAGGCGAGGCCGAGAGGCGUAGCCGAUGCGCAACAGGCGGACAUUCCUGUACCGCCUGCGGACCGCUAUCACCGACGGGGUGACGGAGAAGGGUAGCCGAGCGGGGUUCUGGACGUCCCCGUGAAAGCGCGUAGGGAGCAUCGCAUGGAAAUCAGCGGCGCAUAUAUCCUGAGACGCGAGACGAAAGCUUAUGCUGAAGUCGGCGAGCCCAUGCUUCCGAGAAAAACCUCUAGGAAGGGACGCAGGCGCCCGUACCAAAACCGACACAGGUGGGCAGGUAGAGCAUACCGAGGCGAUCGGGAGAACCAUGGUUAAGGAACUCGGCAUACUGACUCCGUAACUUCGGGAGAAGGAGUGCCCCUGGCGGUGACGGGACUAGCUCCCCGAGCGGCCGGGGGUCGCAGCGAAACGGCCCAAGCGACUGUUUAUCAAAAACACAGGACUCUGCAAAGCCGUAAGGCGACGUAUAGGGUCUGACGCCUGCCCGGUGCUGGAAGGUUACGCGGAUGGGUCAGCCGCAAGGCGAAGCUCUGAAGCCAAGCCCCAGUAAACGGCGGCCGUAACUAUAACGGUCCUAAGGUAGCGAAAUUCCUUGUCGGGUAAGUUCCGACCUGCACGAAUGGCGUAACGAUUUGGGCGCUGUCUCAACCAUGGACCCGGUGAAAUUGUAUUAUUCGUGAAGAUGCGAAUUACCUGCGGAAGGACGGAAAGACCCCGUGAACCUUUACUGCAGCUUGACAUUGAUCGUUGGCUCGGCGCGUAGAGGAUAGGCAGGAGGCUGCGAAGCCCGGGCGCCAGCCCGGGCGGAGCCGACCUUGGAAUACUGCCCUCGUCGCGUCGGCGAUCUAACCCCCGGCCGUGAUCCGGCGGGGGGACCGUGUCAGGCGGGUAGUUUGACUGGGGCGGUCGCCUCCCAAAACGUAACGGAGGCGCGCAAAGGUCCGCUCAGAACGGUCGGCAACCGUUCGCAGAGCGCAAGAGUACAAGCGGGCUUGACUGCGAGGCCCACAAGCCGAGCAGAGACGAAAGUCGGUUCUAGUGAUCCGGCGGCACAGAGUGGAAUGGCCGUCGCUCAACGGAUAAAAGGUACUCCGGGGAUAACAGGCUGAUCUUGC
rnacentral:rRNA from 1 species